rnacentral:rRNA from 1 species
CAGCCGCCACGGUAAUACGUAGGGUGCGAGCGUUAAUCGGAAUUACUGGGCGUAAAGCGUGCGCAGGCGGUUCGUUAAGACAGAUGUGAAAUCCCCGGGCUUAACCUGGGAACUGCAUUUGUGACUGGCGAGCUAGAGUAUGGCAGAGGGGGGUAGAAUUCCACAUGUAGCAGUGAAAUGCGUAGAGAUGUGGAGGAAUACCGAUGGCGAAGGCAGCCCCCUGGGCCAAUACUGACGCUCAUGCACGAAAGCGUGGGGAGCAAACAGGAUUAGAUACCCGAGUAGUCCCUGUCUCUUAUAC